rnacentral:rRNA from 1 species
AGUGAACGCUGGCGGUAGGCCUAACACAUGCAAGUCGAACGGCAGCACAGUAAGAGCUUGCUCUUACGGGUGGCGAGUGGCGGACGGGUGAGGAAUACAUCGGAAUCUACUUUUUCGUGGGGGAUAACGUAGGGAAACUUACGCUAAUACCGCAUACGACCUACGGGUGAAAGCAGGGGAUCUUCGGACCUUGCGCGAUUGAAUGAGCCGAUGUCGGAUUAGCUAGUUGGCGGGGUAAAGGCCCACCAAGGCGACGAUCCUUAGCUGGUCUGAGAGGAUGAUCAGCCACACGGGAACUGAGACACGGUCCAGACUCCUACGGGAGGCAGCAGUGGGGAAUAUUGGACAAUGGGCGCAAGCCUGAUCCAGCCAUACCGCGUGGGUGAAGAAGGCCUUCGGGUUUUAAAGCCCUUUUGUUGGGAAAGAAAAGCAGCAGGUUAAUACCCCGCUGUUCUGACGGUACCCAAAGAAUAAGCACCGGCUAACUUCGUG